rnacentral:rRNA from 1 species
UACGAAGGGGGCUAGCGUUGCUCGGAAUGACUGGGCGUAAAGGGCGCGUAGGCGGAUUGUACAGUCAGGCGUGAAAUUCCCGGGCUCAACCUGGGGGCUGCGCUUGAGACGUGCGAUCUUGAGUGGGGAAGAGGGUCGUGGAAUUCCCAGUGUAGAGGUGAAAUUCGUAGAUAUUGGGAAGAACACCGGUGGCGAAGGCGGCUCACUGGCUCAUUACUGACGCUCAGGCGCGAUAGCGUGGGGAUCAAACAGG